UCACAUUUUAACUUGUUAUUGUAUUUCAAUGUCAGAUAUUUCAUUAACUUUCAUUUCAAAUUUUAAUGUCAUGUACUUUCCGAACUUUUGAAUUUAACUUGUUAAGGUAUUUUAAUAACUUUGACUUUCAUCUCGACUUUAAUGUGAUGUACUUUCCAAACUUUUGAAUUUAACUUGUUAAUGUAUUUCAAAGACUUUUAACUUUCAUUUCAAAUUUUAAUGUCAUGUACUUUCCGAACUUUGAAUUUAACUUGUUAAUGCAUUUUAAUAACUUUGACUUUCAUUCAACUUUUAAUGUCAUGUACUUUCCGAACUUUUGAAUUUAACUUGUUAAUGUAUUUUAAUAACUUCGACUUUCAUUUCGAAUUUUUAUGUGAUGUAAGUUCCGAACUUUUGAAUUUAACUUACUGAUGUAUUUUAAAAAUUUUAACUUUCAUUUCAAAUUUUAGUGUCAUGUACUUCCCGAACUUUUGAGUUUAACUUGUUAAUGUAUUUUAAUAACUUUGAACUUUCAUUUCAAAUUUUAAAAAUUCAUGUACCGAACUUUAACUAUCAUGUCAAAUUUUAGGGUAAUCUAUCUCACAAACUUUUAACUUUUAAUUCAAAAUUCAUUAUCAAUGCAAGUUCAGGACUUAACUUGAUAGUGUACUUCAAUGUCAAGUAUUUCAUUAUUUCACGAACUUUUAACUUUCAUUUCAAAUUUUAAAUGUUUAUCAUAGAAAUUCAGAAUUAUCUUCUUAGAGUACUUUAAUGUCAUGUAGUCUCUCAAACUAUAAGAAACAUCCCGCCAUCACACUUUUCUUCGGCCUGCGCCGAAAGUUGGGGGGGGAGGGGUGUGGUGAUAUGGGAUAAAUGGCAACGUUGCGGCUUGGAGGGCAACAAGGCAGAAGCCACAACACCACCUAGCCUUAUUUUCAGCGGAGAAGAGAGAUAGCGGCGGCCUGAUCGUGCGCGAGGGAGGGAGACAUGCAGUCACUGGCGCAAGUCAAACUACCCCUGUCUUCCCUCCCCCACCGACAGGCGCAGCCAGGCAACCCGGCCGAGCUCCACACAAAGGCCGGGGCCUGAAUCUCGACCGGUGACUUUUUUUUUAUGGAGCCAUUAUCACCGCCCGCAUUUUGCCGAGAGCCUAAAGCCCCCUGUGGUUCUGGAGCGUGAAACCUCGGUAAAGCGGGCGGUGAUAAUGGCUCCAUAAAAAAAAGUCACCGGUCGAGAUUCAGGCCCCGGCCUUUGUGUGGAGCUCGCCGGGUUGCCUGGCUGCGCCUGUCGGUGGGGGAG
rnacentral:lncRNA from 1 species